rnacentral:lncRNA from 1 species
UAGGGAUCUAUGGGGUGCUAUGGGGAUCUAUGGGGUCUCUAUGGGUCUCUAUGAGGAUCUAUGGGGCUCUGUUGGGAUCUGUGGGUCUCUAUGGGGAUCUGUGGGUCUCUAUGGGGUUUCUAUGGGGCUCUGUGGGUUCCUAUGGGUCUCUAUGGGUCCCUAUGGGUCUCUAUGGGUCCCUAUGGGUUCCUAUGGGUCCCUAUGGUUCCCUAUGGGUCCCUAUGGGUCGCUAUGGGUCGCUAUGGGUCCCCAUGUGUCGCUAUGGGGUCGCUAUGGGGUUUCCGUGGCCCCACAGUUCCAGCUCACAUCAGUGUGGAUUUCUAUGGGUCUCUAUGUGUCCCUAUGGGGUCUAUGGGGCUCUAUGUGGCUCUAUGGGGUCUUUAUGGGGCUCUAUUGGGAUCUAUGGGGUCUUUAUGGGUCUCUAUGGGGAUCUAUGGGGCGGUAUGGGGAUCUAUGGGGUUUCUAUGGGUCUCUAUGGGGAUCUAUGGGGCGGUAUGGGGAUCUGUGGGGUUUCUAUGAGGAUCUGUGGGUCUCUAUGGUGUUUCUAUGGGGUCACUAUGGGGAUCUAUGGGGCUCUAUGGGUCUCUAUGGGUCUCUAUGGGUUCCCAUGGGUCUCUAUGGGGUCCCUAUGGGGUCUCUAUGGGUCUCUAUGGGGCUCUGUGGGUUUCUAUGGGGCUCUAUAGGGUCCUAUGGGUCUUUAUGGGGUCUCUAUGGGGCUCUAUGGGGAUCUAUGGGGAUCUAUGGGGAUCUAUGGGGCGGUAUGGGGAUCUAUGGGGUUUCUAUGAGGAUCUGUAGGUCCCUAUGGGGUUUCUAUGGGUUACUAUGGGGUCACUAUGGGGAUCUAUGGGGUUUCUAUGGGGCUCUAUGGGGUCUCUAUGGGUCUCUAUGGGGUUCUAUGGGGUUCUAUGGGGUCUCUAUGGGGUCUAUGGGUCUCUAUGGGUCGCUAUGG